AUACCGUAAAACAAGAAUAACACUAUGGGACCCAUAUGAAGUGCUAUUAGUGAUGCUGGAAGUGCUCCCAAGAAGCAAAGAAUAGGCAUGACAUUAUAGGAAAAAGAUGAAUUGCUUGAUAUAUACCAUAGAUCGAGGUCUGCAGCUGUGGUUGCCUGCCAUUUCAAGAUAAAUGAGUCUAGCAUACAGACCAUUGUAAAAAAAAAAAAAAAAAAAAAAAAGAAAAGCAAAUUCAUGAAGCCAUUGCUGCAGCUAUACCAACAGAUGUGAAAACCUUGCACUUCUUGUGAAAUACCUUUUAAUCUUAUGUUGAAAAUGCAGCUUUUACGUAGGUGCAAGAUUGCUGUAAGAAAGGCAUACCUAUAGACUGUAAUAUGAUUUGUGAAAAAGUAAAGUCAUUAUGUAACAACUUAAAGCAAGAGGAAGGUGAAGGAUCUAAAGAUCGAGAAUUUAAUGCCAGCAAAGUAUGGUUUGGUAAUUUUCAAAACAAGUUUGGCUUAAAAAAUGACCAGAUAACAGGAAAAGCAGCUUCUGCGGACCAAGAGGCAGACUACAAGGCAGCUGAUGAGUUCCCAGAUGCCAUUAAAUCAUUGGAGAGAGGAAACUAAAGCAAAUAGUAGAAGGCUUGGUACCGUAUAGAAACUAUUUUAGAGAAAUGAAAAACAAAAGACAGAAAUUACAGUGUAUUUCUGUAACUGCGUAUACCUGCACUCCUGCCUCCCCUUCCCUCUCCUCCACCUAGUUCACCUCUGCCACUCCUGAGCCAGCAAGACCAGCCCCUCUUCUUUCUCCUCCUUCUGAAUCUAUUCAAUGGGAAGACUAUUCAGAAUGAGGAUGAAGACCUUUAUGAUGAUCCACUUUCACUUUAUUCACUCAAUAAUCAUCAUGCCGUACAGUUAAACUAAUUUGUGUGUAUGUGCGUGAGUGUGUUUUGGUGAAAAUUUAACAACUGUACGGAAAGAACUAUGAGACGUUUUUGUGUCAUUAUCUUCAUCAUUGCCUAAGUAUCCAUUGUGUAGAACAUCGUGUGCAAGUCUUAGUCUAUCCUUACAUGGUUAUAAGUUAGAGAAAUCGCAUAUCAGCCUGUCAUCACAGGCUAUCUACAGCAUCCAAGGUGCAUGAGGAUGAAAUUACAAUUGGAUUGUGUCUGCAUUACUUCUGGGAAACAAAGCUUGAGUGCAAAGGCAGCAGCAAACGUGUCUAAAGUGAAGAGCCUCAACAAGUAGUUCAGUGAGAUGAUGUAAGACCCAACAUGACAUAUUUGAUGGAUUUUAGAGGAAGACCCCUUCCUUUGAGGUUUUUCUAUGUUGUUGUGCUGAGAAUACUUCAGUGUGUUCAGUCAACUGGAGUGUGCGCAUGGAGUUUUGGUAUUGCUGCCUGCCUUUGGUCGGUAGAGCAGUUUACCUCUCAAGCACCUGACACAGGUGAAAAUUCAGAAUUUGCUGGGGUAGACAUUCUGCCACAUAUGUUGUCAUUGAGCUUGGAUCUUCCUCCCUCAGACAAUGAUUUGUUACAAUCUCUGGCUCUAUUUCCAUGCGGAUGUAAGAUAUCUGAUAAAGUCAGAGGAGCCUGUUGUGAGUUUUGUCUCCAAAUCCAAGGAUUGGUACUUUUGCCGGAUUGGACUGCUGCUGUUUGAAAAAAAAAAAAAAGAGGUGGUGGUGGGAGAGAUUGCUGUUUAUCUCCCAAUAUGUGUCCUUCUCUUCUUCCCUAAUAAAAGAACUUUUAGCUGGGCACAUGGCUGACUCAAAUAAAAUGACCUUUCUCAGCAUCACAUGCAGCCAGGUAUGUCAAUGUGAUUGGCCAGUGAGGGUGAGCAGAUAUGAUAUGUGCAGCUUCUGGUUCGUACUUCCUUCCUCUUUCCCACUAGAAAGCAGGUGUAGUGGUAAGCCAUCAUGGACCACAUGGGUGUGAGCAAUUCGUUAGGGUAGUAAAUUGCCACCUUUGCUGCACAUUAGAAUCACCUAGGGAGCUUUUAGAAAUCCCAGUGCCCAGGUCACACCAUGUACCAGUCGAAUGAGAAUGUCUGGGGUGAGAGCCAGACAUCAGUGUUUUAAAAAAUCUCCAAGUGAUUCCAAUGUGUAGCAGAGUUUGGGAACCACUGCCUUAGAGGUUCCAGAGCAAGUACACUGGAGAAGCCUAUGUUGCUGACAGCACACCUGUCCAGGACAAUGUAUGACAAGACUGUCACAAGUCAGAGAAAUAGAAUUCUAGCUUGUGUAGGCUGGUUAUUUGGAGUCUUGGUU